UACGAAGGGGGCUAGCGUUGUUCGGAAUUACUGGGCGUAAAGCGCACGUAGGCGGAUCUUUAAGUCAGAGGUGAAAUCCCAAGGCUCAACCUUGGAACUGCCUUUGAUACUGGGGAUCUUGAGUCCGGGAGAGGUGAGUGGAACUGCGAGUGUAGAGGUGAAAUUCGUAGAUAUUCGCAAGAACACCAGUGGCGAAGGCGGCUCACUGGCCCGGUACUGACGCUGAGGUGCGAAAGCGUGGGGAGCAAACAGG
rnacentral:rRNA from 1 species